CAGCGCCACAAGUGGCAACCACGUUUAUUGGGCCUAAAGCGUCCGUAGCCGGUUCAGUAAAUCCUUUGUGAAAUCGCCAGGCUUAACCUGGCGGCGUGCAGGGGACACUGCUGGACUCGAGACCGGGAGGAGUCAGAAGUAUUUCUGGGGGAGCGGUAAAAUGCUAUAAUCCCUGAAAGACUACCUAUGGCGAAGGCAUCUGACCAGAACGGAUCUGACGGUGAGGGACGAAAGCCAGGGGAGCGAACCGGAUUAGAUACCCGAGUAGUCC
rnacentral:rRNA from 1 species